rnacentral:tRNA from 1 species
GGAGAGGUGUCCGAGUGGUCGAUGGUGCACGCUUGGAAAGCGUGUGUGCCGAGAGGCACCGGGGGUUCGAAUCCCCCCCUCUCCG